UACGGAGGGUCCAAGCGUUAUCCGGAUUUAUUGGGUUUAAAGGGUGCGUAGGCGGCUUAUUAAGUCAGGGGUGAAAGACGGUGGCUCAACCAUCGCAGUGCCCUUGAUACUGAUGAGCUUGAAUACACUUGAGGUAGGCGGAAUGUGACAAGUAGCGGUGAAAUGCAUAGAUAUGUCACAGAACACCAAUUGCGAAGGCAGCUUACUAAGGUGCAAUUGACGCUGAGGCACGAAAGCGUGGGGAGCAAACAGG
rnacentral:rRNA from 1 species